rnacentral:rRNA from 1 species
UCCGGUGGUAUGGGAUGGGCCCGCGUCUGAUUAGGUAGUUGGCGGGGUAAAGGCCCACCAAGCCGACGAUCAGUAGCCGACCUGAGAGGGUGGCCGGCCACAUUGGGACUGAGACACGGCCCAAACUCCUACGGGAGGCAGCAGUGGGGAAUAUUGCGCAAUGGGGGAAACCCUGACGCAGCAACGCCGCGUGAGUGAGGAAGUAUCUCGGUAUGUAAAGCUCUAUCAGCGGGGAAGAAGGAAGACGGUACCCGACUAAGAAGCCCCGGCUAACUACGUGCCAGCAGCCGCGGUAAUACGUAGGGGGCGAGCGUUAUCCGGAUUUACUGGGUGUAAAGGGAGCGUAGACGGCGUCGCAAGUCUGAAGUGAAAGCCCGUGGCUCAACCGCGGAACCGCUUUGGAAACUGUGAGGCUGGAGUGCUGGAGAGGUAAGCGGAAUUCCUGGUGUAGCGGUGAAAUGCGUAGAUAUCAGGAGGAACACCGGUGGCGAAGGCGGCUUACUGGACAGUGACUGACGUUGAGGCUCGAAAGCGUGGGGAGCGAACAGGAUUAGAUACCCUGGUAGUCCACGCGGUAAACGAUGAGUGCUAGGUGUCGGGGGGCAAAGCCCCUCGGUGCCGCCG